GAAGCUUCGACUAAGGUUCGAUUCGAGCGAAAGCGAGAAAGCGUUGCCGCAGGCAACGACCCGAAGGGCGAAACGCGCAGCGCUGAGUCAUCCUUCCCCCACCACCA
rnacentral:sRNA from 1 species